UCGGGAAUUUUGGGCAAUGGGCGAAAGCCUGACCCAGCAACGCCGCGUGAGGGAUGAAGUAUUUCGGUAUGUAAACCUCGAAAGAAUGGGAAGAAUAAAUGACGGUACCAUUUAUAAGCUCCGGCUAACUACGUGCCAGCAGCCGCGGUAAUACGUAGGGAGCAAGCGUUGUUCGGAUUUACUGGGCGUAAAGCGCACGUAGGCGGACUUUUAAGUCAGGGGUGAAAUCCCGGGGCUCAACCCCGGAACUGCCUUUGAUACUGGAAGUCUUGAGUAUGGUAGAGGUGAGUGGAAUUCCGAGUGUAGAGGUGAAAUUCGUAGAUAUUCGGAGGAACACCAGUGGCGAAGGCGGCUCACUGGACCAUUACUGACGCUGAGGUGCGAAAGCGUGGGGAGCAAACA
rnacentral:rRNA from 1 species